rnacentral:rRNA from 1 species
GACGAACGCUGGCGGCGUGCUUAACACAUGCAAGUCGAACGGAAAGGCCCUGCUUUUGUGGGGUGCUCGAGUGGCGAACGGGUGAGUAACACGUGAGUAACCUGCCCUUGACUUUGGGAUAACUUCAGGAAACUGGGGCUAAUACCGGAUAGGAGCUCCUGCUGCAUGGUGGGGGUUGGAAAGUUUCGGCGGUUGGGGAUGGACUCGCGGCUUAUCAGCUUGUUGGUGGGGUAGUGGCUUACCAAGGCUUUGACGGGUAGCCGGCCUGAGAGGGUGACCGGCCACAUUGGGACUGAGAUACGGCCCAGACUCCUACGGGAGGCAGCAGUGGGGAAUAUUGCACAAUGGGCGGAAGCCUGAUGCAGCAACGCCGCGUGCGGGAUGACGGCCUUCGGGUUGUAAACCGCUUUCGCCUGUGGCGAAGCGUGAGUGACGGUAAUGGGGAAAGAAGCACCGGCUAACUACGU